GAUGAACGCUAGCGGCAGGCCUAAUACAUGCAAGUCGAACGGGAUCUGAGGGUAGCUUGCUACCCGAUUUGAGAGUGGCGCACGGGUGCGUAACGCGUGAGCAACCUACCCAUAUCAGGGGGAUAGCCCGGAGAAAUUCGGAUUAACACCGCAUAAGAAUGUAUUAACACAUGUUAAAGCAUUUAAAUAUUUAUAGGAUAUGGAUGGGCUCGCGUGACAUUAGCUAGUUGGUGAGGUAACGGCUCACCAAGGCGACGAUGUCUAGGGGCUCUGAGAGGAGAAUCCCCCACACUGGUACUGAGACACGGACCAGACUCCUACGGGAGGCAGCAGUAAGGAAUAUUGGUCAAUAGGCGGAAGCCUGAACCAGCCAUGCCGCGUGCGGGACGACUGCCCUAUGGGUUGUAAACUGCUUUUGUCGAGGAAUGAACCUAUCUACGUGUAGAUAGUUGAACGUACUCGAAGAAUAAGGAUCGGCUAACUCCGUGCCAGCCGCCGCUGUAA
rnacentral:rRNA from 1 species